AGNUGUAAUUUGCAGAGGAUGCUUUGGCAUUGNNGGCGGUCUAAGUUCCUUGGAACAGGACAUCGCAGAGGGUGAGAAUCCCGUACGUGGGCGCCUGCCUUUGCCGUGUAAAGCUCCUUCGACGAGUCGAGUUGUUUGGGAAUGCAGCUCUAAAUGGGAGGUAAAUUUCUUCUAAAGCUAAAUACCGGCCAGAGACCGAUAGCGCACAAGUAGAGUGAUCGAAAGAUGAAAAGUACUUUGGAAAGAGAGUCAAAAAGCACGUGAAAUUGUUGAAAGGGAAGCGCUUGCAGCCAGACUUGCCCGCAGUUGCUCACCUAGGCUUUGGCCUGGGGCACUCUUCUGCGGGCAGGCCAGCAUCAGUUUGGGCGGUCGGACAAAGGCCUCUGUCAAGUAUCUCCCUUCGGGGUGACCUUAUAGGGGAGGCGUAAUGCGACCAGCCCGGACUGAGGUCCGCGCAUCUGCUAGGAUGCUGNCNUAAUG
rnacentral:rRNA from 1 species